rnacentral:tRNA from 1 species
AGGGGCGUCGUUCAAUGGUAGGACGGAGGUCUCCAAAACCUUUGACAUAGGUUCGAUUCCUAUCGCCCCUGCCA